rnacentral:rRNA from 1 species
UACGUAGGUGGCAAGCGUUAUCCGGAUUUACUGGGUGUAAAGGGCGUGUAGGCGGGAGUGCAAGUCAGAUGUGAAAACUAUGGGCUCAACCCAUAGCCUGCAUUUGAAACUGUACUUCUUGAGUGCUGGAGAGGCAAUCGGAAUUCCUAGUGUAGCGGUGAAAUGCGUAGAUAUUAGGAGGAACACCAGUGGCGGAGGCGGCUUACUGGACGGUAACUGACGCUGAGGCUCGAAAGCGUGGGGAGCAAACAGG